UUGGCCCAUAUUCCUGCGGGAAGCAGCAGUAGGGAAUCUUCCACAAUGGACGAAAGUCUGAUGGAGCAAUACCAUGUGAACGAUGAAGGUCUUUUUGAUUGUAAAGUUCUUUUAUGAGGGAUAACAACUGAUAGUACCUCAUGAAUAAGUGACAGCAAACUAUGUGCCAGCAGCUGCGGUAAUACAUAGGUCGCAAGCAUUAUUCGGAUUUAUUGGGCGUAAAGCAAGCGCAGGCGGAUGUGUAAGUUCUGUGUUAAAAGUAGCUACUUAAUAGUUGUUUGCACCGAAUACUACAUGUCUAGAAUGUGGUAGGAAGUUUUGGAAUUAAACAUGGAGCGGUGGAAUGUGUAGAUAUGUUUAAGAACACCGGAGGCGAAGGCGAAAACUUAGGCCAUAAUUGACGCUUAGGCUUGAAAGUGUGGGGAGCAAAUGGGAUUAGAUACCCCAGUAGUCCACACCGUAAACGAUGGGUAUUGGGUAUUGGGGUUUGAGCCUCAGUGCUGUAGCUAACGUGUUAAAUACCCCGCCUGGGUAGUACAUAUGCAAAUAUGAAACUCAAAGGAAUUGACGGGGACCUGAACAAGUGGUGGAGCAUGUUGCUUAAUUCGAUAAUACACGAAAAACCUUACCAAGGUUUGACAUCCUUCGCAAAGCUAUAGAAAUAUAGUAGAGGUUAUCGGAGUGACAGGUGGUGCAUGGCUGUCGUCAGCUCGUGUCUUGAGAUGUUUGGUUAAGUCCCGCAACGAGCGCAACCCUACUCUUUAGUUAUUUUUCUAAAGAGACUGCACAGUAAUGUAGAGGAAGGUUGGGAUCACGUCAAGUCAUCAUGCCCCUUAUGCCUUGGGCUGCAAACGUGCUACAAUGGCAAACACAAUGUGUUGCAAAUCAGCGAUGAUGAGCUAAUCACUAAAUUUUGUCUCAGUUCGGAUAGAAGGCUGCAAUUCGCCUUCUUGAAGUUGGAAUCACUAGUAAUCCCGU
rnacentral:rRNA from 1 species